ACACGGGGGGCGCAAGCGUUAUUCGGAAUUAUUGGGCGUAAAGGGCGUGUAGGCGGUUUUAUCGGUCAGAUGUGAAAGCCCAGGGCUCAACCCUGGACGCGCAUUUGAAACAGUAAGACUUGAGUACGGUAGAGGAAAGCGGAAUUCCUGGUGUAGAGGUGAAAUUCGUAGAUAUCAGGAGGAACACCGAUGGCGAAGGCAGCUUUCUGGACCGAAACUGACGCUGAUGCGCGAAGGCGUGGGUAGCGAACAGGAUUAGAAACCCUAGUAGUCC
rnacentral:rRNA from 1 species